rnacentral:lncRNA from 1 species
CGUUCGGUGCGCGAAAUCCCAAAAAUGUAAGCGCGUCGCUCAUUGGCGACGGGAUGUUAUUACCUCUCGUGUCGUCUGACUUCCCUGGCCAAAGUGGCCAUUGUGGCGAGCUAACGCAUCAAGACGGUAUUUCAGCAACUACAGUUAAGGAAUGGCACUUGUGGUGAAAGAAGAUGAUUUGAACUAUGAUAUAGGCCUCCGCUCUUCUGAUGAAGGUCCAGAGUGAAGUUAUGAACUUUCUGCUAUCGAAUGAGAGAGACCAGGAGCCCCUACAAACAGUGGGCAUACAUCUAUAAUGUGUUUUAUGUGAGCAAUGUUUUCACUGUUUAUGUGAGUCACGUCUUCAACUUCAUUGAAGAUAAUAG